rnacentral:lncRNA from 1 species
UUAAUUAUUUCCUUGACUCUUUUUGCAAGCAUGGCUAAAUCUUCAUUCUUAUCUUUAUUAGACUUGGAUGCACUAGAUCUUUUACUCUCUUAUUACCUUAUGGAGCUCUUGAGAGCCAAGGACUUUCUUCUUGCUUCCCUUUCUUUUCUUGCUCUUCCUUAUUCUCAAGAGCCAUCUCAUGGGUAAGGAGCUUUCCAAUAAGCUCAUC